rnacentral:rRNA from 1 species
CCUACGGGUGGCAGCAGUGAGGAAUAUUGGUCAAUGGGCGGUAGCCUGAACCAGCCAAGUAGCGUGAGGGAUGACGGCCCUACGGGUUGUAAACCUCUUUUGUCUGGGAAUAAAGCGCAUCACGUGUGCUUCAUUGCAGGUACCUUAAGAAUAAGGAUCGGCUAACUCCGUGCCAGCAGCCGCGGUAAUACGGAGGAUCCGAGCGUUAUCCGGAUUUAUUGGGGUUAAAGGGGGCGUAGGCGGGGGUUAAAGUCAGCGGUAAAAUUGCGGGGCUCAACCCCGAACUGCAGUUGAAACUGGACGCCUUGAGUGCAGGAGAGGUAGGCGGAAUGCGUGGUGUAGCGGUGAAAUGCAUAGAUAUCACGAAGAACUCCGAUUGCGAAGGCAGCCUGCCGGAGUGCAACUGACGCUGAUGCUCGAAAGUGUGGGUAUCAAACAGGAUUAGAUACCCUUGUAGUC